UGCCAGCCGCCGCGGUAAUACGAACUGCGCGGACAUUAUUCGGAAUCACUGGGCUUAAAGGGUGCGUAGGCGGCCUGUUAAGUAGGGUGUGAAAUUUGUCGGCUCAACCGGCAAACUGCAUUCUAAACUGGCAGGCUUGAGUAAGUCAGGGGUGUGUGGAACUUCCGGUGGAGCGGUGAAAUGUGUUGAUAUCGGAAGGAACGCCGGUGGCGAAAGCGACACGCUGGGGCUUUACUGACGCUGAGGCACGAAAGCUAAGGUAGCGAACAGGAUUAGAUA
rnacentral:rRNA from 1 species